GCCAGUGUGGUGAAAUCGGUAGACACAGUGGAUUCAAAAUCCACCGCCCUUAAAAGCGUGCCAGUUCGAGUCUGGCCACUGGUACCA
rnacentral:tRNA from 3 species